AGCAUAGCUGAUAUUACAAGAUGUGAUUUAGGAACCCUUUCUACUAGUACAGUUUUAACUUAUGUCAUUCAUUACUCAAAUGUUUCGCAGUAUUCUUAUUUAUUGAAUCGCGGGACUCCGUUGACUCGCUGCUGCC
rnacentral:ribozyme from 1 species